GGCGGAGCCCGCCUCAUCCGCCCCUCGUGCACCACGAGCUGCAGGUUGCCGGUCGCCGCUGCCGCAUCCCGCCUGGGGAGAAGGAAAGGGGGUACCUGACCCACAGCGGCGUUCACCCCAGCAACAGAUGCUUUUCCAUGGGUCCUGCUGCUGCUACAUUGACACCUACUGUUAAUUCAACUUCCUUCAUGCCGAUCCAGGUAGUGGAACAAAUUGCCUUUUGGGGCUGCCCGCAAGAAGAAUGCAUAAGAACUCUCAGAACGGUGUUCUGGUACCUUUUUUUGAUGGGGUUUUUUUUCAACUUUUGC